AACCUUUCCAACUGUUCCACCUGUGGAGCUCUGGAGAUGUUUCUUUCGUCGGUAAGCAGCCUCAUUCCAGGGUGUGGCUGCUGCUGCUGCUGCUGCUGCUGCUGUGAAGAAGAAAACUCCAGCUGACACACUCUCAUGCGCCUCCUGACUGAAGCACACCCCCCUCUGCUGGCUGGUAGUCGGCGAAAGGAGAAGAAGAAAACCCUUCCGUGUGCUCCUCUUGGCUUCGGGGGACUCCGGGUACAAGUCCAGGAACACUAAUUCACACCCAGAGGAAAGGCUUUGCUCCCCGCUGCCGCACGGGUUCUCAUUGUGGAGCCUUUAUAGAUUCACAAAGCUGCUGCGAGUAAAGUGGGGCAAAACAUCGCCCAAGUCCUGAAGAUCUAAAGAAGCUCCAGUACGGCAGCGGCUGGGACUGCGGGGACCGCUCGCCGACGUGCACGUAGGGGCGUAGCCAGGACAUUAUUUCUGGGGGUGGGGCGGCUCUGGCCAGUCUUUUAUUUGGGGUGGCACUUGAUUGUCAAAAACUGCUAUUUUAAAACUCACUCAGAGCAGCAGUUUUCUAACGGCUCAUCUAGCCAUAAACAAUGGAUUGAACCUUCUUAUGGACACUAAUGAUGUCUUACUAGUAUUUUCUUUUUUUGCUGUGCCGUGAGGUUGGAGGACGGCAGGGUGGCCAUUCUCUGACCAAUGGUGGCCGUAGGCCCCACUGGCCACCAAGGCCACGCCCCCGCGUGCACGGCAAGCUGCAAAUCAACGCCCUUGAAGUAAUUCUUUUUUACUCACGAAUUAAACGUGUCAUCUGCCUGAUGUUCAUUAAAUAAAGUAAUUUCACGAGGCCCAGUUCUCACCGUGAGA